rnacentral:rRNA from 1 species
GCCAGACUCCUACGGGAGGCAGCAGUGGGGAAUAUUGCACAAUGGGGGAAACCCUGAUGCAGCGACGCCGCGUGAGUGAAGAAGUAUUUCGGUAUGUAAAGCUCUAUCAGCAGGGAAGAAAAUGACGGUACCUGACUAAGAAGCCCCGGCUAACUACGUGCCAGCAGCCGCGGUAAUACGUAGGGGGCAAGCGUUAUCCGGAUUUACUGGGGGUAAAGGGAGCGUAGACGGUGAUGCAAGUCAGAAGUGAAAGCCCGGGGCUCAACUCCGGGACUGCUUUUGAAACUGUGUGACUGGAGUGCAGGAGAGGUAAGCGGAAUUCCUGGUGUAGCGGUGAAAUGCGUAGAUAUCAGGAGGAACACCAGUGGCGAAGGCGGCUUACUGGACUGUAACUGACGUUGAGGCUCGAAAGCGUGGGGAGCAAACAGGAUUAGAUACCCGAGUAUU